rnacentral:rRNA from 1 species
AACGAACGCUGGCGGCAGGCCUAACACAUGCAAGUCGAACGCCCCGCAAGGGGAGUGGCAGACGGGUGAGUAACACGUGGGAAUGUGCCCCAAGGUACGGAAUAUUCUCGGGAAACUGAGAGCAAUACCGUAUGUGACCGAAAGGUGAAAGAUUUAUCGCCUUGGGAUCAGCCCGCGUUGGAUUAGCUAGUUGGUGGGGUAAAAGCCCACCAAGGCGACGAUCCAUAGCUGGUCUGAGAGGACGACCAGCCACACUGGGACUGAGACACGGCCCAGAGUCCUACGGGAGGCGGCAGUGGGGAAUCUUGGACAAUGGGCGCAAGCCUGAUCCAGCCAUGCAGCGUGAGUGAUGAAGGCCCUAGGGUUGUAAAACUCUUUCGUGGGGGACGAUAAUGACGGUACCCCAAGAAGAAGCUCCGGCUAACUUCGUGCCAGCCGCCGCGGUAAUAC